rfam:Klebsormidium nitens DNA, contig: KFL_1075.
AGCCUUCCUGCCACAGCUGGGGUAGCCUGGUAAUGACCUCUUCUGUCAAGGUUGGCUGAGAGCAACCUUCGCUCCCUUGAUAGGAAGCCAACGGCCCGUUCAUGGCCGGAUGGUGCCAUUUUGAGCGAUGAUAUUC